rnacentral:rRNA from 1 species
AACGAACGCUGGCGGCAUGCCUAACACAUGCAAGUCGAACGAGACCUUCGGGUCUAGUGGCGCACGGGUGCGUAACGCGUGGGAACCUGCCCUUAGGUUCGGAAUAACUCCCCGAAAGGGGUGCUAAUACCGGAUAAUGUCUUCGGACCAAAGAUUUAUCGCCUUUGGAUGGGCCCGCGUUGGAUUAGCUAGUUGGUAGGGUAAAAGCCUACCAAGGCGACGAUCCAUAGCUGGUCUGAGAGGAUGAUCAGCCACACUGGGACUGAGACACGGCCCAGACUCCUACGGGAGGCAGCAGUGGGGAAUAUUGGACAAUGGGCGAAAGCCUGAUCCAGCAAUGCCGCGUGAGUGAUGAAGGCCUUAGGGUUGUAAAGCUCUUUGACCCGGGAUGAUAAUGACAGUACCGGGAGAAUAAGCUCCGGCUAACUACGUG